rnacentral:lncRNA from 1 species
GUUGUUUUCUCUGUUGUACCCCUGGCUGUUCUCGAACUCUGCCUUGUAAACCAGGUGGAUCUCUGAGUUCAAGACCAGCCUGGUCUACAAGAGCUAGUUCCAGGACAGCCUCUAAAUCCACAGAGAAACCCUGUCUCAAAAAGAAAAAAACAAAACAAACAAGAUGAUAAUAAUAAUACUGAUCUUUCUGUCUUUCCAGUGUGUUAAUAUUGGGGAAAUCUUAUAAUUCAAUGAGUCAGUAUUUUCCAAUGACUACUGGGUAAUUUAAAAAAAAAAAAAAGUGUGCCUCAAUAAAACUGCAUGGCUCAGCAGGUAAAGGCACCUGCUGCCUAGUCUGAUGACCUAAGUCCCAUCCCUAGAACCCCCAUGGUGGAAGGAGAGAAUUGAGUUCCUUUGGAAGUUGUCUGAUCUCCACUCAUUCACAGAGACAGACAAAUAGACACACAGAGUGUGUGGCUUGAAAGCCGAAGGGGGGCUAUUUGAAGGGAGAAUGAACCAUCUAUAAGGGGAGAAGGAAAAGGUAGUAAGGGAACAAAUAGUUGAAGCUUAGGGUGGUGGCAUUUGUGUGUGAAGAUGUCAUGGAACCCAUUGUCCUUUAGAAACUCAUUACAGUUAAAGUACAGAAGUCUAAGUUUGACACUACACAUCGUGAUUCAACCUGAACCAGACCUGUGGGUGGUGUACAAGGGAAGGCAGGCUCUGCUUUGGCUGGGAGGUAAAGUUUUUUUUACAUUUGCUGCUAUGGUCAUUAGUUUAUAUCUUUAAAGUUGAUUGUAGCAUAACUUUUAGAAUUGUCCUCGCUUCUUGACUUCACUGAAUUGCUACCUUCACAUUCCAGACAUUUAGAAAUUUAAAACUAACUUAAAGGUGAAUUAAAUGAAAGAAAAAUAUAAUGGAAAAGACAAAUCUUUUUGCUAAUAAUGCUUUUUCCAGUAGGAAAGUGCUAUUAGAUGAUUUAUACACUUUCCUUCUGUAAUUACUAUAAAAGAGGAUUCAGUAAAAAGGAGGGGGUGCAUUUCUUACCGCUGAACUGAAGUUCUGAAAUAUCUUGAAAUCCGAUUGACCAGCAUUAUUCAGAUUUAGUUCAUGCCCACCCACCCCCAUUAAUUUUUAAUAGUACUAAUUGAAAAGGCGGUUUUUAUCCUGGUAAGUGGCCUAAACUACUUGACAGAACCCAUCUUAUUCCAAAUGAUGCUUCUUCAGUUCCUGGUGUGUAUACCCUGUGCAUCACAGCAUUUAUUAUUCCUGGUGUAAACAAAACGAGGGCUUCAGGGGACCCUUUUAGUGCCAGCCCUUGAAACGCCAAGUCUAAGUGGUGGUUAGUGAGUCCUAAGAGCUAUUAUCUUUAGAAAGGAAAUCAUCUAUUCCCGACGCUGUUGUUCCUUGGGGUUUGUACUGAAUGUGAAGGAGGAACUUAGAUUGGCAAAGUAGCUCAUGAUUAUGCAGUCUGCUCGUGCAUCCCUCCAAAGACUGCGCUGCCUGGGGAAUCAAGUGCACUUGACAACUAGAUCCUUAGUGUGUCAGCGUGGGAGGGGGUGGAGAUAAAAACCAAAUCAUUAAAUAGAGGGAAGUGGUCAUUAUAGCUAGCUCUGGGAAAUACUUGUUUUGUUUUUGUUUUUGGCAUGGAUCUACCGUACAAUCUCUGUACUCAUUUAAGAAAAUAUUGUGCACGUAUGAAUUACAUAAAGAAGACAUUCUAUAAGAUUCACCAGGUGUGAUGUGCACACCUUUAAUGUCAGCACACAGGAGGAAGAGGGGGGUGGAUCUCUGUGAGUUUGAGACCAGCUUGGUUCACAUAGUGAAUUCCAGACCAGCAAGGGUUCCCUUAGUGAGACCCUGUCUUCAGUUCUUCAUUAUUCACUAUACGAAAAACAGGUGACUUUUUUUUUUUAACGUUUGUGUACACCUGCAUAAGUUCAUGUGCACCACAUGUAUGCCAGUGCCUGCAGAGCCCAGAAGACCCCCGCUAAGUGACUUUUCUUAAGGUGCUUCUUUUUCUUCUUCUUCUUUUUUUUUUUUUUUUUUUUUUCCUUUGGUUUUUCGAGACAGAGUUUCUCUGUGGCUUUGGAGCCUAUCCUGGCACUUGCUCUGGAGACCAGGCUGGCCUCGAACUCUCAGAGAUCCUCGAGUGCUGGGAUUAAAGGCGAGCACCACCAACACCCAGCCAUUCUUUUUUUCUUUUUUAAGUUCUGUUUAACUGUGCCAAGUGGUUGGGUUGGUUUUUGUUGUUUGGUUUUGUUUUUUUGCUGUUGAGAAAAAGUCUCCAGUAUCCCUAACUAGCCUUGAACUGUAUGUUGGAGAAUGACCUUGGACUUCAGAGCAUCCUUUACCUCCCUGGUACUGGAAUUACAGGCAUGUGCUACCUACAUUUGGUGUAUGUAAUGCUAGGGAUCAAACCCAAAGCGCUGCAUUCUAGACAAGAACUCUGCCAACCAAGUGAUAUCACAAGGCCGGGUAAGGAUUCUCUCUAUCUAGCUCUUUAAGUGUGCAAUCUCAUUGCUGGCUUUAUGCCUAGCAUCAGUAAGAACUCUUAGAAAUGUUCUAUAGAGUAAGGCAGGGUCACACACAGCACAAACCAUAUACCCAGAAGGCAACAGGCUUCAGUCUCCUGACUCUUGGCCCUUUGAGCCUUUCCCAUGCGGUACCAUGACUACAUGCUGACAUGACUUAAAGGCUCUGGCUCUUAAGUUAGGUAGUCUGGCUUCUUGGAAGACCGAAGACAUCAAUCACCAAGCUUCUAGCCCAGACCACUAUGGCCAGUGCCCUACAUCCCAUCCAUCUCAUCCUAGAGGCCCCAGUGUUCUCUCAAAUGGGAAGUGUUCUUUCCCACCAAACUAAGAUUUUUGUCCUUAUCUCCCAGCUAAGACCUACCCGGCUAUUUCAGUAAAAAGCCUCCCACCUCCCUCUCCUAGGCAAUGCUGCAGAUUUGAAUCUUCUAGAUGUCUUUUUAAUCUGCCCUAUCUCUUUCGCAGUCCACACCCUCGACCCCUCGACUCUAGAGACUGGAAGGAUUCCCUUGGUCUUUACCAUUGUGUCCCUUGGGAGCCUUCUCAUUGUUCCUAAGAUAAGAACUGAAGUCCUUUAAGGCAUCCUGAGCCACUUGUAUCCAUCAUCCACCCAAUGCCUCUGGGCUCAUAGUAAACUGCCAAGCAUUAGCCGAAACUUAGUGUGUGGGAAAACAUCACCUGAUGUUUGUAAACUGAGAAAAUCUUCCAAACUGUAGCACAUUAAAUUGAAGAGAAUGUCUUGGAUAAAAAGAAGCUACACUUUUCUCCCAAAUCAGCAGGGUAGUCAUGGCUGGAACUGAGCGC